rnacentral:rRNA from 1 species
AUGGCUGCGGAGGUGGAGAUGGGUGGAGGCGAGGCGCUGCUGGAGGAGGGCACCGGCGGCACUGGCGCAAGGCGGGGCGGCAGGAAGCCGCUGGGGUGGAGGUGCAUGCCCUUCAUCAUAGCAACCGAGACAUUUGAGAAGGUGGGGUCAGUUGGGGUGGCAGCAAAUCUCACGGUCUAUCUUGUCAACCGCUACAACAUUGGGAAGCUCGCGGCAGCAAACAUCACCAACAUUUUCUACGGUACGCUCAACUUUGCGCCGUUACUAGGCGCCUUCAUCUCCGACGCCUACUUGGGAAGGUUCAGAACCCUGGCCUACGGAUCCUUCUUUAGCCUCCUGGGGAUGCUGGGAUUGACUUUGUCUGCAUCAGUUCCAGCUCUCAAACCACCAGGCUGCAGUCAGACAGCCCAAUUGGGUGGUCACUGCAACAGUCCAUCAACACUCCAGCUGAGCGUGCUAUACAUAUCUCUAGCGUUUCUAACCAUCGGCGGUGGAGCAAUCCGACCAUGCAGCUUGCCCUUUGGAGUAGACCAAUUCGAUAUGACUGAUGAAAAAAGCCGAAAGGGACUGAAUAGCUAUUAUAACUGGUAUUAUGGCACAACUACUGCUGCCCUGGUGUUCUCCAUGACUAUUCUCAUCUACAUCCAGAAUAGCAUCAGCUGGCCAAUAGGAUUUGGCAUUCCCACAUUCUUCAUGCUUAUGUCAAUCAUCAUUUUAUUCAUGGGCACUAGACUUUAUGUCCAUGUACCACCAGAAGGAAGCAUCUUCACUGGAAUUGCCCAAGUUUUAGUGGCAUCAUUUAAAAAGAGAAGACUCAAGCUUCCGCAUCCUGACAAUAUAAAUCAACAAGAGUUGCUGCUCUUCAGUCCUCCAAUAGGUGGCCACCGUAUUUUCAGAUUGCCACUUACUUCCCAGUUCAGGUGUCUGAACAAAGGUGCGAUUGUAAGGGAUGGUGAUAUAAAUGAUGACGGUUCUGCAAGAAACUCAUGGGAGCUUUGCAGUAUCCAGCAGAUAGAAGAGGUCAAAUGUUUGUUAAGAAUUGUGCCUAUCUGUAUAUCUGGCAUCAUAUGCUUCGUCGCGUUGGCUCAACAAUUCACAUAUAUAAUCUUGCAAACAUUAACAAUGGACUGUCACCUUGGAACACAUUUUGAAAUCCCUGCAGGCUCUGUCAUAUCCAUAUCCUUAAUCGCCCUAACUGCAUUCCUGCCGAUUUAUGACCGAAUAUUGGUACCUAUAGCUAGAAGAUUCACCAGAGUGGAAAGUGGAAUUACACUUCUUCAGAGACAGGGUAUAGGAUUGGUGAUUUCUCCCAUUUCAAUGGUGGUAGCAGGGCUUGUUGAACACAAAAGGAGAAACUCAGCAUUGUCUAAUGGAGGAAAAUCACCUAUGUCAGUCUUGUGGCUUGCCCCCCAAUUGAUUUUAAUGGGUAUUGCUGAGGCCUUCAAUGCAGUUGGACAAAUAGAAUUCUAUAAUAAGCAGUUUCCAGAGCAGAUGCUAACCCUAGCAGGAUCCCUCUUUUUCGUUACGUUAGCUGGAGCAAACUACUUGAGUACUGCUCUGGCAAACAUUACAAGGAAAGUGACUACCAGAGAUGGCCACACAAGCUGGUUGACAGAUGACAUUAAUCUUGGCAAGCUUGAUUAUUACUUCUAUUUCAUUGCCCUCAUAGGAGUACUGAACUUUUUCUACUUCCUUAUAUGCUCACACUACUAUCAAUAUAAAUCCAUGUCACUCCAUGCUGAAGAGUCCAUCAAAGUACACACCAAGGAAGAGGCAGAAGCAGAGGUCGACGCGAAUACAGAUGCACCUAAAAAAUAA